rnacentral:rRNA from 1 species
GAUGAACGCUGGCGGCGUGCCUCAAACAUGCAAGUCGAGCGGGGCUAUGUAAUAUCGCAAGGUAGAACAUAGCCUAGCGGCGAACGGGUGAGUAACACGUGGGUAACCUGCCUGGAAGACAGGGAUAACGAUUCGAAAGGGUCGCUAAUACCUGAUAAUAUCCUUUCAUCGCAUGGUGAUAGGAAGAAAGGGGAAACCCGCUUUCAGAUGGGCCCGCGUCCCAUCAGCUAGUUGGUAAGGUAAAGGCUUACCAAGGCGACGACGGGUAGCCGGUCUGAGAGGAUGUACGGCCACACUGGGACUGAGAUACGGCCCAGACUCCUACGGGAGGCAGCAGUUGGGAAUCUUAGGCAAUGGACGAAAGUCUGACCUAGCGACGCCGCGUGAGGGAAGAAGGCCUUCGGGUUGUAAACCUCUGUCAGUGGGGAAGAAGGAAGUGACGGUACCCAAGGAGGAAGCCCUGCUAACUACGUGCCAGCAGCCGCGGUAAUACGUCACGUCG